UGGGGAAUAUUGGACAAUGGGCGGAAGCCUGAUCCAGCAACGCCGCGUGAGGGAUGACGGCCUUCGGGUUGUAAACCUCUUUCGCCUGCGACGAAGCGAGAGUGACGGUAGCAGGUAAAGAAGCACCGGCUAACUACGUGCCAGCAGCCGCGGUAAUACGUAGGGUGCGAGCGUUGUCCGGAAUUAUUGGGCGUAAAGGGCCCGUAGGCGGUUUGUCGCGUCGGGAGUGAAAACACUGGGCUUAACUCAGUGCUUGCUUCCGAUACGGGCAGACUAGAGGUAUGCAGGGGAGAACGGAAUUCCUGGUGUAGCGGUGAAAUGCGCAGAUAUCAGGAGGAACACCGGUGGCGAAGGCGGGUCUCUGGGCCGAUACUGACGCUGAGGAGCGAAAGCGUGGGGAGCGAA
rnacentral:rRNA from 1 species